rnacentral:rRNA from 1 species
GCCGCGGUAAUUCCAGCUCCAAUAGCGUAUAUUAAAGUUGCUGCAGUUAAAAAGCUCGUAGUUGGAUCUGGGGCUUGAGGUCGCUGUCUAUCGUUUCGGCGAUGACGGUGAUGCUCAGCUCUGCUUGCCAGUGACUGUUGCGGUGUUCUUCACUGAGCGCUGUAGCAGCACGGCACGUUUACUUUGAAAAAAUUAGAGUGCUCAAAGCGUGCUUGUCGCUUGAAUAAUGUUGCAUGGAAUAAUGGAAUAGGACCUCGGUUCUAUUUUGUUGGUUUUCGGAGCUUGAGGUAAUGAUUAAGAGGGACGAACGGGGGCAUUCGUAUUGCGGUGUUAGAGGUGAAAUUCUUGGAUCGCCGCAAGACGGACUACUGCGAAAGCAUUUGCCAAGAACGCUCUCAUUAAUUAAGAACGAAAGUCAGAGGUCCGAAGACGAUCAGACACCGUCCUAGUUCUGACCACAAACGAUGCCGACCAGCGAUCCGUAGUGGUUGCUUUAUGGACCCUACGGGCAGCCUCCGGGAAACCAAAGUAUUUGGGUUCCGGGGGAAGUAUGGUUGCAAAGCUGAAACUUAAAGGAAUUGACGGAAGGGCACACCAGGAGUGGAGCCUGCGGCUUAAUUUGACCCAACACGGGAAAACUCACCCGGUCCGGACACCGUAAGGAUUGACAGACUGAUAGCUCUUUCUUGAUUCGGUGGAUGGUGGUGCAUGGCCGUUCUUAGUUGGUGGAGUGAUUUGUCUGGUUAAUUCCGAUAACGAACGAGACUCUAGCCUGCUAAGUAGUGUUGCUAUUGUUAUAUGGUUGACACUUCUUAGAGGGACAAGUGGCAUUUAGCCACGCGAAAUUGAGCAAUAACAGGUCUGUGAUGCCCUUAGAUGUCCGGGGCCGCACGCGCGCUACACCGGAGAAGUCAGCGUGUGUUAUCCAAGUCCGAAAGGACUGGGUAACCCGUUGAACCUUCUUCGUGCUUGGGACUGUGGCUUGGAACUAUUCCACAUGAACGAGGAAUUCCUAGUAAUUGCAAGUCAUAAGCUUGCGUUGAUUACGUCCCUGCCCUUUGUACACACCGCCCGCCGCUACUACCGAUUGAAUGGUUUAGCAAGGUCCUCGGAUCGUGGCCGUAGGGGCACGCAAGUGUUUCUGCGGUUUGCGAGAAGACGACCAAACUUGAUCAUUUAGA